GACUAAGCCAUGCGAGUCGAGAGGGUAAAGCCCUCGGCGUAUUGCUCAGUAACACGCGGAUAACCUGCCCUUGGGUUCGGGAUAACCCCGGGAAACUGGGACUAAUACCGGAUAGAUCAAAGAUACUGGAAUGCAUCGAGUUCUAAAGCUCCGGCGCCUAAGGAUGGGUCUGCGGCCUAUCAGGUAGUAGUGGGUGUAGCGUACCUACUAGCCUACGACGGGUACGGGUUGUGAGAGCAAGAGCCCGGAGAUGGAUUCUGAGACACGAAUCCAGGCCCUACGGGGUGCAGCAGGCGCGAAAACUUUACAAUGCUGGAAACAGCGAUAAGGGGACCUCGAGUGCCAGGUUACAAAUCUGGCUGUCGUGAUGCCUAAAAAGCAUUGCAUAGCAAGGGCCGGGCAAGACCGGUGCCAGCCGCCGCGGUAACACCGGCGGCUCGAGUGGUAACCGUUAUUAUUGGGUCUAAAGGGUCCGUAGCCGGCCGGAUAAGUCUCUUGGGAAAUCCAGCAGCUCAACUGUUGGGCUUUCAGGAGAUACUGUCUGGCUCGAGGCCGGGAGAGGUGAGAGGUACUUCAGGGGUAGGGGUGAAAUCUUGUAAUCCUUGAAGGACCACCAGUGGCGAAGGCGUCUCACCAGAACGGACCUGACGGCAAGGGACGAAAGCUAGGGGCACGAACCGGAUUAGAUACCCGGGUAGUCCUAGCCGUAAACGAUACUCGCUAGGUGUCGGCCACGGUGCGACCGUUGUCGGUGCCGUAGGGAAGCCGUGAAGCGAGCCACCUGGGAAGUACGGCCGCAAGGCUGAAACUUAAAGGAAUUGGCGGGGGAGCACCACAACGGGUGGAGCUUGCGGUUUAAUUGGAUUCAACGCCGGG
rnacentral:rRNA from 1 species